UCUGAAUCUGCGUACGGCUCCGCAAACCAGUUGUAAACUAUUGCUAGCACGCUCAUCGUCUUCGGAUGGUGGGCUAUAAGGAUAACCCUGGUAAUUCUGAGGCUAAUACUCGACCGUAAAACUCGCUGGUCUGGGUAACUGGUAAGGCGAGGGACGUGUAAUUGAUCGCAGGAGAUGCCGGGAAAGGAUGCACGUUCUGACCACCAUACAAACAGUAUCCUGGAAGCUCGCAAGGGCCGAAGGGUGUCUGGGUGGCUCUAGCAUUGUGCUUCUGACCUAUCAACUAGAUGGCAGUGUAAGGGACAUGCCAUGGU
rnacentral:rRNA from 1 species